rnacentral:lncRNA from 1 species
AGAACUUAAAAAUGGGAAUUUUAAAAAAAAAGAAAAUGGAAAGAGAGUGUAUCAGUAUUGAUGGGCCAUGAAAGGGGGUGCUGAAAGCGAAAAGUGGAAGGCCCAUGGUCCAAAUCAUUAAAUCUGGGCGUGACAAUUAUUAAAUGAACAUUUUAAUAAAAUAAUUCAUGUAACUUGUAUCAACCGGUCACAUGUGUUUAA